GCGCUCGUAGCUCAGCCGGAAGAGCGCAGGAUUCCUAAUCCUGAGGCCGCAGGUUCGAACCCUGCCGGGCGCA
rnacentral:tRNA from 1 species